rnacentral:rRNA from 1 species
AUGUUCGGUGGUUUCGUUGCAUGCAAUGGAACCGGGGUGUUGAGCCCUUCUCUUCGAAAAAUCUUCUCCGAGGAAGCAAUGAGUGCAGUAGCCCACAUCGGCUUAAUGGGAGGUGCGGCCGUGGACGAUGAAGAGUACGCGAACGGAUCUCUUGGGAGAGUAGCUGCGCUGGCGGAACAAGGGAUGAUGGAUUGUAGGCAUAGCUUGUCGGGGCAGAUCGGCAGUUCUCGGCGCUGCGGCGAGCAAACAAGCAUGGCUGCCGGAGGCGACUCCAUGCCCGCUUUCAGUGAGAGCGAGGGGGAUAACGGAUAUGUAAUUGGGCAUGAUGGCAUCGUAGCCCACCUUGGUGGAGACCAAGCGGCUGUGAUUGAAGAGCUUGUUGAGAGGGACAAUGCCUCCACGCAGUCCACGGGGAAGAUGGAUCAACAAGUUUCAGGGUGGACUAAAAGGGUAAGAGUUGGUAAGCAUCCGCCGGAACAGGAAACCAUGUCCUGCUAG